rnacentral:lncRNA from 1 species
GUGCGGCCGGGCAGGUGCGGCCCCUCCCCCGAGCCCCCCCCCCCCCGGCCUGCUACAGCGCCUGUGGAGGGUUUCGCGGCUGGGUUGGAGGCCGUGGGCUCUGCCGCCCACCUGCAAACACCUGCCACGCUUGCGUCGUGGUCUUGGGCAUACUCGUCUCCGUGGGUGUCUGGUUCGUCCCAUCCUUACCCCGAGCCUUUGUUGGGGGUUGACCGAGGGGUAUAAGCGGCCUUCAGGCUCCUCCAGAGCUAAGGAAACUGAUCCGGCCCUCGCCCCAAACCUGGCGGUUCCUGGCUCUGGGGCCAGGCGGUCUCACCUUCACUGUGCGACCCUCUCUUCCCACUUGUGUGCCCACCAUUAGGGGUCCUUGGAGGUCGUCACAGAUCAGAGGAGAGAAUGCGCUGCUUUUGGGUCGGACGACACUGACCUGUCAGCCCCCAGCUGUGGUUUUCAUGAGGCCACCCUUGUCCAAACCUGACAUACUGAAGCUCAGGCAUGAGGGUGCCCUACUCUCCUGGCAUGCCUUGUCUCUACCCCCUCCCAAGUGUCCUGGUCGCCACCGCCCCCAAGAUAUCCUAUCCCCACCACCCAGUGCUUUGUUUACCCCUCCCAGGUGCUCUAUGUCUUCCAGGUGUCCUGUUCCCUCAAGGUAUCUAUCCCCACAGCCUGCUGCCUUGCUUACCCCAUCACCUUCCCUGUCCUCAAAAAAGAAAAAAAACAAAAAACCCCCUCUCUGCCUAGUCCCCUAGGCUCUGAUCCCUUUCUCCCUAGGGUAUCCUCUUUCCAGUAGUUACAAGAACAUCGGUGGUGAUGUCUUUUAAGUCAUUUGUGUUGUAGCAGAUUUCACAGGGACACAAACAAAACAUGUGACUUGUGGAUACAGAUAAGGUGGAAGACUCAUCACCAAGUCCUGGCAUGCUAGAACUGAGGGCAUCCCUUGACACUUGAGAGUGGUAACAGGAGAAGUGAGGGAAUCUUAACUGCAUCCAGCAGUACUGAACUGGGGCCCUUGUCACACCUGGCGAUGAUCACAAGCUUGGAAGUAGGAGUGAAGAGAAAGAGCAGGGGAGGACUUUGGGAGUGUAGGCCCAGCAUGUUUGGG